rnacentral:lncRNA from 1 species
GAGAGAACCAAAGGCUCUGUCUGAGCCCGGGUGUCUGAUGCCACAACCCAGCCACAAUCUCCAUGCUACCAUUUCCCCUGACAGACACCGAAGUAACACAGCCCCUCGGGAGAGCUGGGCCCCCAAGUUAGGGACAUAGAGCUGGCAGUUCUGUGGAUGAAGCCAGGUGGCAUCUGGAGAUUCUCCGUCUGAGCCCUCCUUAGCCUUCCUUCCUCUAGCCCUGGGCCACGGCUUCUCUGGAAUAUCCGGGGCCUCAGUGAGCACAUUUCCAGAAAACUG